AACGAACGCUGGCGGCAGGCUUAACACAUGCAAGUCGAACGGAUGCAGCAAUGCAUCAGUGGCAGACGGGUGAGUAACACGUGGGAACCUUCCUAGGGGUACGGAACAACUCAGGGAAACUUGAGCUAAUACCGUAUACGUCCGUGAGGAGAAAGAUUUAUCGCCCUUAGACGGGCCCGCGUCGGAUUAGCUAGUUGGUGGGGUAAUGGCCUACCAAGGCGACGAUCCGUAGCUGAUCUUAGAGGAUGAUCAGCCACACUGGGACUGAGACACGGCCCAGACUCCUACGGGAGGCAGCAGUGGGGAAUCUUGGACAAUGGGCGCAAGCCUGAUCCAGCCAUGCCGCGUGAGUGAAGAAGGUCUUCGGAUUGUAAAGCUCUUUUGCCAGGGACGAUAAUGACGGUACCUGGAGAAUAAGCCCCGGCAAACUUCGUGCCAGCCGCCGCCGUAAUAG
rnacentral:rRNA from 1 species